GUGGAGACUUGAUGGGAGAGACGACCAUCGAGGAACACAUAGAGAGUGAAGGAGAACCCUUGCAGUGGCUAGUGGAGAAAUGUGGGAACAGAUAUCACGACUUUGACAACAACAACAGAGGAGAUGGGUCCCAGGUUACAGAGCUGCUGGAGAAGAUCAAGGAGAUGGUUGCAGAAAACAGCUCCUACGCUUCUGAUACCCAGCUCUUUGAGGCGAAGGAGACCUCAGGAGAACUAGAAGGGGUGGAUGUGGAGAUGGGAAAUUUGCUGGACAAAGAGUGGAAGAGGAUGGACAGAAAGAUGGAGGAGAAAAUAAAAAAACUCUGGACACAAUCAGUUGACCCGAGCAUGAGAGGAGACAAAAGCGUGGAGCUUCCUCCCUUCUUUAAGGAAACUGAGCCUUCGCAGGAGUCCCAUGAAGGUCCCAAAUCACCAGAAAAGUUGGACACUUCAGAACGUGGUCUUGGGGAGUCGACUUUGAAAUCAGAGGCUGGUGAUGAAAAACCUCAGCAGCUCUCAAGACAGACCAGCGAGGUGCACUCUGACCUCUUGGAGAAGGUGAAGGAGACCCUUGAGCGGGAAUGGGGCAGACGAGAAGCUAUCGCCACGGAGAGAGCUUGGGGGAUGUUCUUAGAGAUGAGCACAGGACAUGGUUUGUCAUCUGAACCAGAUGAAAAGGAACGUCGGAACUCGGAAGAGAAGGUCCUAGCCUGGAGGACUGAGGGCUCCUCUGGGAUAGGUUCUGAAGCGGUGGACACUGAGGAGAUGGACAGAAGUCUAUUUAGCUAAUGUCAUAUUUGAAUACUCCUAUUAACUCUGAAUUGAAACGUGUGUCAAUACAAUUGCCUUGUGGCCAUACCCAGCAGUGUUGUACAAUUGUUUUCCUGUAAAUAUCAGUUAAUGAAUUAAUGUAGUAAUAAAAUGGCUUCCUUCUUGACGUCUAACUAAC
ensembl:lncRNA